UAUGAACGCUGGCGGCGUGCUUAACACAUGCAAGUCGAACGGGAAACAUUUUAUUGAAGCUUCGGCAGAUUUAGCUUGUUUCUAGUGGCGGACGGGUGAGUAACGCGUGGGUAACCUGCCUCACACUGGGGGAUAACAGUCAGAAAUGACUGCUAAUACCGCAUAAGCGCACGGGACCGCAUGGUUUUGUGUGAAAAACUCCGGUGGUGUGAGAUGGACCCGCGUUGGAUUAGCCAGUUGGCGGGGUAACGGCCCACCAAAGCGACGAUCAGUAGCCGACCUGAGAGGGUGACCGGCCACAUUGGGACUGAGACACGGCCCAA
rnacentral:rRNA from 1 species